CCUUCAACAAAACAGAAACCACGAUAACCAUGACUCUGAUCACCAUCUUCAUCUGGACACUGGUCUGCUGCUGCCUCAAAGGAUCCAGAGGUCAGGUGACUGUGACUCAGCCUCCUGUAGUGACAUUUUCUACAGGAGACCCUGUCACUCUGACCUGUUCAACCAACCCUAAAGUGUACAAAUGGGAUGGUGGAGAGGAGGGUGCAUUCUGGUAUCAACAGAGACCUGGAGAGGCUCCCAAACUCCUGAUAAGAUACGUAAAGACACUGCUAUAUGGGAUUCCUGCUAGAUUCAGUGGCAGUGGGUCUGAGAGCGACUUCACUCUCACCAUCAGUGGAGCCCAGGCUGAAGAUGCAGCAGUUUACUACUGUAAGAGUUUUCACUAUCCCAAUAGUAAACGUGUGUUCACACAGUGA